AGCAGUGUGGCCUAGUGGAAAGAGCCCUGGCCUGGGAGUCAGAAGACCUGGGUUUUAAUCCCAGCUCUGCCA
rnacentral:tRNA from 1 species